AUUGAACGCUGGCGGCAGGCCUAACACAUGCAAGUCGAGCGGAUGAAGGGAGCUUGCUCCUGGAUUCAGCGGCGGACGGGUGAGUAAUGCCUAGGAAUCUGCCUGGUAGUUGGGGAUAACGUCCGGAAACGGGCGCUAAUACCGCAUACGUCCUGAUGUAGAAAGGGGGGGAUCUUCGGACCUCACGCUAUCAGAUGAGCCUAGGUCGGAUUAGCUAGUUGGUUGGGUAAAGGCCUACCAAGGCGACGAUCCGUAACUGGUCUGAGAGGAUGAUCAGUCACACUGGAACUGAGACACGGUCCAGACUCCUACGGGAGGCAGCAGUGGGGAAUAUUGGACAAUGGGCGAAAGCCUGAUCCAGCCAUGCCGCGUGUGUGAAGAAGGUCUUCGGAUUGUAAAGCACUUUAAGUUGGGAGGAAGGGCAGUAAGUUAAUACCUUGCUGUUUUGACGUUACCAACAGAAUAAGCACCGGCUAACUUCGUG
rnacentral:rRNA from 1 species